rnacentral:tRNA from 1 species
GCGCCGGUGGUGUAAGGCGAACAUCGCUGCCCGGAAAGCAGAAGAUGCGGGUUCGAUUUCCGCCUGGCGCA